CGAGGUGGCCCUGAUGUCCUCCUCACCGCUCCACGUGCAUACCCUGAAGCUACUUGCUGGGUUGAAGGCCUUCUUAAAUGACAGCCAGUGUUUGGUUAAGCAUACACAAGUGACUGUGCUUCCCAGUUGGAACCUCCAGACAAGCUCUCAAGGUCCGUUUGUAGGAGGGUGUCCAUUUGAGGCACCGAAUGUGGCAGUCUGCCUUUCUUU
rnacentral:snRNA from 1 species